rnacentral:rRNA from 1 species
CCUACGGGAGGCAGCAGUGAGGAAUAUUGGUCAAUGGACGCAAGUCUGAACCAGCCAUGCCGCGUGCAGGAUGACGGCUCUAUGAGUUGUAAACUGCUUUUGUACGGGGGUAAACCCCGAUACGUGUAUCGGUUUGAAAGUAUCGUACGAAUAAGGAUCGGCUAACUCCGUGCCAGCAGCCGCGGUAAUACGGAGGAUCCGAGCGUUAUCCGGAUUUAUUGGGUUUAAAGGGUGCGUAGGCGGGUUGAUAAGUUAGAGGUGAAAUGUCGGGGCUCAACCGUGAAAUUGCAUUUAAUACUGGUAGACUAGAGAAUAGUUGCGGUAGGCGGAAUGUAUGGUGUAGCGGUGAAAUGCUUAGAGAUCACGCAGAACACCGAUUGCGAAGGCAGCUUACUAAACUAUAACUGACGUUGAUGCACGAAAGCGUGGGUAGCAAACAGGAUUAGAUACCCUUGUAGUC